rnacentral:tRNA from 2 species
AGAAAAGUAAGCUAAGUAUAAGCUAGAGGGUUCAUACCCCUCAUAUAGAGUUAAUCUCUCUUUUCUA